rnacentral:snRNA from 1 species
AAAAUGUGGGAGGAAAGAUCGUGAUCACAAAGGUGGUUUCCCCAGGGCGGGUCUUACACAUUGCACUUUGGAUGUGCUUACCUCUGCGAUUUCCACAAAUGCCACAAACUUGACUGCAUUAUUUGCGGUACUGGGGAAUUGCAUUUGUGCUCAA